AAGACUAUAGACCUGCGGAGUACCUGCGGAAGGAUCAUUAGUGAACGCCCUCGCGGGCUUAUAACUAUUCCAAACCUCUGUGAACCGUGCCCUUCGGGGCUAUUUUACAAACAUGGUGUAAUGAACGUCAUAUAUCAUAACAAAACAAAACUUUCAACAAUGGAUCUCU
rnacentral:misc_RNA from 1 species